AAAUGUUUAAUGGCGGGCGACUUUUGACGUUGCAGACACAGUACUAAAUGUAGCAAUAGGUAAGCUACGCGUAUCGCAUAAAUGAUGAAAUAUAUCUCAUAUGGUGUCUUUUUUCAUAUUAUAAUGUAUUUUCACACCAAAUAAUGGAAAUAAUUUGAGUGAAAGCUGUAUUUAUCAAAAGAAAGAUCGCAAGCGGAGUUUAAGCUCCGCCCACUUUUUACCUUAUUUGGAAAUUCAAUGUAGUCGUGAAGCUUGCAGUUUGCAAGUCUGUUAAUUGAAGAUAAUUGAAGCAGCCGUGCACUUGUCAGUUGAGAUUAAAACGACCUGGUUGAAGAAACUGAUGAGAACAAAUGGAAAUUUUAUUCAAUAUGAUCCAUUUUCAGGGCAAAACAUGAUUUAAAAGGAUAAUCAUGGUGUAAUUUAUCGCUUUCAGGUAUUAUAAUCUAGAGAUAUACUAAAAUUAUGCAGACGGCAUGACUGGCUUGUGCAUCGGAUAGAUCAGAUAUAACCACGUGUUGCAAUAUUUAAUUUCAACCAUAGCCAGUAUCUAUCACAGGGGUUCUUCUUCACAGGUGUUUGUUAAUGAUAAUCCUAUGGUCCACACAAAUUAUGAACGUUCAUCUUGUGUCAGAUAAUUUAGGAAAAUGAAGAAAUAAAAUAGAAAACAUGUGCCUGUGCCUCUUAUCGCCUUUUUAAAAAUAAUAUGCAUUAACUAUUAUAAAGGGCAAAUACAUGUAUUUGAAUUGCAUGAUGCCACAGGGGCAGAUCCAGCCAUUUUAUAAAGGACGGGUUCCCAACCCAGGACAAAGGGGGGGUUCCCAUUCAAAUGCAUUGAUUGGCCAAAAAAAGUGGGGUUCCAACCCUUGAAUCCGCCAAUGUGCCAUCAGUUAUGUAUACAUUGUACUUAUUUACAUCAUGCCAUUCGUCCAAAGUAAAAAAAAUAUUCCUGCAGGACACAUCAAAUAAAAAAAACGUAUUUGCCGGGCUAAUCAUGCUAAUUAUUCUUCAUCAAACAUGUCAAAACUACUCCAAAUAAAUAUGACGUGUUGAAAGGCUAUUAUAUUUUUUUUUAGUUUCGAAGUAAGGCGUCAAAGAAAAAAAAGAAAAUAGCCUUUCAAGAUCGAAAGUAAGGUGUCAAAGAAAAAAAAUAAACUAGCAUAUCAAGACGUCAUAAUUAUUUGGACUACAUCAAAAACACCUUUAAAUAAUUAUUUCAAUUCAUCAUCCCUAACAAACAUUUUUGUGUUGGUCUGUAAUUGGUAAUAGUCCAAAUAAUUAAGACGUCUGGUAAGACUUUUUUUUAUUUUUUAUCUGAGACAGCCAGUAGGAAGAUUAAGGCAUCCAAGAAAAAAAAUAAAUAGCCUUGCCAGACAUCAUAAUUAUUUGGACUAGGUCUGUAAUUUAGCAGUUCAUGUUCAGAUGUAAUUGUAACCUCUUACAAGGCUACAUGAAGCUAUUUCAUUUUUCGCAGGAAGGCUCAAAGCUAAAAUAAAAUAGCCUUGCAAGAUGUCUUAAUUUUUUUAGACUAAGAAUAGACCACUUUGCUAUUAUUAUUGUGUGCAAUAUAGAUAAAGACUGAGAAAGCAUUGUCCACUUGAAUGUUUCGUACAUGUACAUGUAUCUACAUGUAAUAUGGCGCUGUAUCUUGUAAUUAUUUGGAAUAGAGGGAAGAACAUUUUACACCGGAGUUGAAUUUCUUUAAUAUACAGUCUAAUGUUAUUGCAUGUAUUGCUUCUUUCAAUUUUUUUUUGCUGCAAUUCCUUUAAUUUCUAAUAAUGGAUUUUGCCAUUCAUAGUAUGAAAGUUAUUAUUACAUGUAUUUGGCAAACACAAUACAUGUCUGUUUAAGGUUACAUACAUCAAAUAAAUAGGGUAGGUAGGUCGGUAUUUCCAUUUUAUUUAAUUUUUUCAUUUUAAUUUUUUGGCAUGAUUUUAGAGUCAUCCGUGCGUUUUAUCUUGUCAUGGUCCGAGUUCACCUGUAUUUUUAAAGAUUGAAUUAUUUCCCUUUGUUAUUGGUUGGGGGAAAAAAUGGUGGCAAAGUGUUUAUUUCAUCACACAAGUUGCGAAAUUUCCUUAAAACAGCUGCUAUAUUUAUGAUUGUGAACAUUAGGAUGUAUCAGGCAAUUGACUUAUAUUAUUGGCAACGCUACAAAAAUGUAAAUGCACUUUUGACAUGAGUUCAGUUUAUUUUUCCCUUUACGACGGAAAUAAAAUGACUAUUUAAAGGGUAAAACAGUAAAAAAAUAGGGUAGGUCAGGUAACCGUAAACAGACAUAUAUUUUUUUGGCCUUAGGAAAGACUAAAAGAAGCAAUAAUCUGAGGCUAAUUAAUAUGUAGUUUGUUAUCACGACUGCCAACUUUGACAUAUUAUUUUUAUAUAUAUAUAUAAAAAUUAUUAUCAGUAUUAAAAUUGAAUAGUCACUGCAUGCAUUUUCCCUCUAAAAAAUAGAGUACAUGUAUGACAUCAAAUAUCUGAACUGUGUCCCUGUUCAGUGUUGGUUGGAAUUAAAUCCAUUACUCAAAGCUAAAUCCCCAGUAAACAGAAUCGAACUAUAAUGGUAUUUGUAAAAUUUUCUUUGUGAAACCACAUGACCAAGAGGCAGAAAAAAGCCCCACUUGUAAUAAAGCUGUGUAUUCUGUUACAACAGACAACUGUGUGCAAGCAUGAAAGUAUGCAAAUCAUCAUUUUUUAAACUAAACAGCUGUUUAGAAACGGUCAAACCGAUAGAUGAGAGGGGAGGGUCUCAUAUUCUUAUUGCUGUGAAUGUAAGUCUACCUCAAUCUACUGAUGAUACAAAAAAUAACAACACAUACAUGUACAAGUGUUUUUCAUGACACUUAGCUGAUAUUGUAACAUAAGCUCCCUUAUGCUCAUGAUUUUUAUUUAUUUUUAGAUUUACUUAUUCUAGUUAUCAGGAUUUUAUCUUUUUAUAUACCAAAACUUUUAAUCUUUAAAAAAGUGCGGGUACAAUUGCAAAUGUAUACGGUUUCUAUUUCUAUCUAUACAUCUUUAAAACAGCCAGAUUUUUGGAUAGAGAGUCGGGGGUGGAUCCAGCCAUUUUAAAAAGGGGGGGGUUCCAACUGUAUGUCCCCAUUCAAAUACAUUGAUCGGCCAAAAAAACAGGGGUUCCAACCCCGGAAUAGACCCCCCCCCCCUUGGAUUCGCCAAUGAGAGUUGUCUCAUUGGCACUCAUAUAUUUUGUACCACAUCUUCCUAUACAUCUAUAUCUAGACAGACUGACUAUAUUAAAGUCAGUCUGUCUGUCUGUUCCAUGAAUUUUUUUCGUCCAUCUUUCUCAGGAAAAUAACAAGGAUUUCUAAAAUUUGCUUUCAGGGUUUAUAUGAAUCAGCAAUACCUUGUGAUGCUUUUUCAUAUUCAUCAUUCAACAACUUCCUGUGUACCUUAAAAUUCUUAAAGUUUAUGAGGGUUAUCAUAAGCGAUCAGUAGCUCACAGAUUCACUUGUUUGUUUCAGAUUAUUUUAUAUAUUUUUUGUUGGGGGAGGGAGCUGACUAUUUUGAGCAGUGCUCUCAGCACUUCUAUUUAAUCAUAAAAGUUACAUUAAGACGAGCAAACAUUAGCAACAUGCGUAUCAUGGGUUUAUUUAAUUUGCAUUAUAAACAAACUUGUGUGGCAAAAGUAAUUUCUUUAUUUUAAAAAAUAUAUGAUUCAUUAUCAUGAUGAUUAUACACAGAUAGUCAUACAUGUUACAUGUAUACACAGGUUCAUACUAUUUUUGUAUAUAUAGCUCUGUAACAGUUUCAGUACUUCAUUUGUUUGUACUUAUACAUCUUUGGAUUUUAAAUGUUUGGCUUUGAUGAGUGUUCCUGAUGAAAGUAAAUCCAGAAAAGCACUUUGGACGCAUGAAAUUAUUAAACGUGUUUAUCAAUUUUUCAUGCUCCUUAUUUUAAAACUAAAGUAUAUUAUUAUAAUCUUUUUUUUUUUAGGUCGCCUGAGAAUUACAGGACUGAGGUUACAGUAUGCCAUUCAAGCUUGGGUGAAAUAUAAAGUAAUGGUUUGAAUUUGGGAUCUUUAUUAUAGACAGGUAAAUUGUUUAUCCUGCAAUUAUCUACAUGUAACUAUUGUACAAUGAGACGACUCUCCUCAAAAGACCAAGUGAAACAGAAAUUAAAAACUAUAGGUCACCAUUUAGGCAUUAUGGCCUUCAACAAUGAGAAAAACACAUAAAAGGCCCCAAAUCAUAAAUGUUAAUAAACAUGUUGAAGGAGAAAACUAAUGGCCUAAUUUAUGAGGACAAAAAAAAUGAAUGAACAAACAAACAACAAGUGCUUAAUUACAGACACAAACAUACAGAAUGUGGCGGGGUUAAAGUUGAUUGUUUAACGGUUAAAUAUGUUAGCAAGCCAGGCUUUUCUUCCUGUUCUUAUAAUACAUGUACGUGCAAAUAAAUUUCUGUUUUCUUACAUCGUGAGAAGAUUGUAUGAUGUAAAUUUAGAACUUUAUAUAUGUUAUAUGGCAAUGAUUUUAAAAGGCAACUUUGAAUACAAAAUGUAUCUCAUUUUUAGCUCACCUGUCCCGAAGGGACAAGUGAGCUUAUGCCAUCACUUGGCGUCCGUCGUCGCCAUCGUCUGUCGUCUGUCGUCGUAACAUUUCAAGAUCUUCUCUCUGAAUACUGGGCAAAUACUUUCAAACUUUAAAUGAAUGUUGGGUAUCUAAUUAUAAAUGUAUCCGAAGUUUUGAUCUUCAACAAACAGGCGCCAUUGCUAAAAAUAGAACAUAGGGGUCAAAUGCAGUUUUUGGCUUAUAACUCAAAAACCAAAGCAUUUAGAGCAAUUCUGACAAGGGGUAAUAUUGUUUAUCAGGUCAAGAUCUAUCUGCCCUGAAAUUUUCAGAUGAAUCAGACAACCCAUUGUUGGGUUGCUGCCCCUGAAUUGGUAAUUUUAAGGAAAUUUUGCUGUUUUCGGUUAUUAUCUUGAAUAUUAUUAUAGAUAGAGAUAAACUGUCAACAGGAAUAAUGUUCAGCAAAGUAAGAUUUACAAAUAAGUCAACAUGACGGAAAUGGUCAGUUGACCCCUUUAGGAGUUAUUGCCUUUAUAGUCAAUUUUUUAACCAUUUUUUGUAAAUCUUAGUAAUCUUUUACAAAAAUCUUCUCCUCUGAAACUACUGGGCAAAUACUUCCAACUUUAAUUGAAUGUUCCUUAGGGUAUCUAGUUUGUAAUUGUAUCGAAGUUAUGAUCUAUCAACAAACAUGGUCACCGUUGCUAAAAUAGAACAUAGGUCAAAUGCAGUUUUUGGUUUAUAACUCAAAACCAAAGCAUUUAGAGCAAAUCUGACAUGAGGUAAUAUUGUUUAUCAGGUCAAGAUCUAUCUGCCCUGAAAUUUUUCAGAUGAAUUGACAACCUGUUGUGGGUUGCUGCCCCUGAAUUGGUAAUUUUAAGGAAAUUUUGCUGUUUUUGGUUAUUAUCUUGAAUAUUAUUAUAGAUAGAGAUAAACUGUAAACAGGAAUAAUGUUCAGUUAAGUAAGAUUUACAAAUAAGUCAACAUGACGGAAAUGGUCAGUUGACCCUUUAGGAGUUAUUGCCCUUUAUAAUCAAUUUUUAACCAUUUUCGUAAAUCUUAGUAAUCUUUUACAAAAAUCUUCUCCUCUGAAACUACUGGGCCAAAUACUUCAAACUUUAACUGAAUGUUCCUUAGGGUAUCUAGUUUUGUAAAUUGUAUCUGAAGUUAUUGAUCUAUCAACAAACAUGGUCGCCAUGCUAAAAAUAGAACAUAGGGUCAAAUGCAGUUUUGGCUAUAACUCAAAAACCAAAGCAUUUAGAGCAAAUCUGACGGGGUUAAAUUGUUUAUCAGGUAAAGAUCUGUCUGCCCGGAAAUUUUCAGAUGAAUCUAACAACCCUUUGUUGGGUUGCUGCCCCUGAAUCAGUAAUUUUAAGGAAAUUUUGCAAUUUUUGGUUAUUAUCUUGAAUAUUAUUAUAGAUAGAGAUAAACUGUAACAGCAAUAAUGUUCAGCAAAGUAAGAUUUACAAUAAGUCAACAUGACUGAAAUGGUCAGUUGACCCAUUUAGGAGUUAUUGCCCUUUAUAGUAAAUUUUUUACCAUUUUUCGUAAAUCUUAGUAAUGUUUUACAAAAAUCUUCUCCUCUGAAACUACUGGGCCAAUACUUCCAAACUUAACUGAUGUUCCUUAGGUAUCUAGUUUGUAAAUUGUAUCUGAGUAUGAUCUAUCAAAACAUGCGCAUUGCUAAAAAUAGACAUAGGGCAAUGCAGUUUUGGCUAUAAACUCAAACCAAAGCAUUAGCAAACUGACGUUGGUAAUAUUGUUUAUCAGGCAAGAUCUAUCUGCCCUGAAAUUGUCAGAUGAAUCAGACAACCUGUUGUUGGGUUCUGCCGAAUUGAUAAUUUUAAGGAAAUUUUGCUGUUUUUGUUAUCUUGAAUAUAAUUAUAGAUAGAAAUAAACUGUAACAGCAAUAAUGUCAGCAAAGUAAGAUCUUCAUAAGUCAAUUUGACCAAAAUUGUCAAUUGACCCUUAAGGAGUUAUUGCCCUUUAAGACUUUUUUCACAAUUUGUCAUCAUGGUUACUUACUUUAAAAAAUUUCUCCUUUGAAACUGCUGUUAUCAAUUUCAGCCAAAUUAGGCUAAAUGAGUUUCGAGAUUAGUAUAAAUUUUAUAUUUUAUUUCCUUGUAUGUCAAGACCAUAGCUCUAUGGCUAAAAUAGAACAUAGGAGAAAAUGAUUUUUUUUUGGACUUUUGAAGAAAUAGGACGAUCCAAAAAACAUUUAAAUAAAUUGAAAAGCCAAAAUAAUCAUUGAUGAGAGUUUAACCAAAAGAAUUAAGGUGAGCGAUUCAGGCUCUUGAGAGCCUCUUGUUAUAAGAACUGACAUUCUGAAAUCUAUACAUCAUGUACAUGCAUGACAAAUAAGUAACUGUACAAGUAUGUAGAUAUAUUCUGAAAUAGCACAAUUUUAUACAUUCUUCAAGAAUUGCAAUACAAUAAUUAAUGUACCCAAUAUAAAUCAUGAUAAUUUUCUUAAUUAAAAAUGAAGUGUCUGUACCAGCAAUAAUAUUUAUAAACACAGACAUGACGGAUACACCUAUAAUAAUAUACUGAACUUGCAAGCUAAAAUUUCUUUUGGAUUACUGAUAUUGAUCAUGUUGAUAUUGAAGUAUUCCUGUCAUUGUUCACAUUUGGAAAAGGAGAUAUAAAUAACAUAAAUUUAAAUAUUUAUUUACACAUAGUGCUCUUUUUUAAAAUGUGUGAAAAUUUAAUUUUUGUACAAAUGUUGAAUGAAGACAUUUAUAUACUACAGGUAAAAAAGGAUGGGAAUUAUUUUGUUUACAUUUUAACUUUUUGAAGAAGUAUGACUUUUUUACUUUUUCAUUUUGAAAAAUUUCAUUUGAUAUAUACAUUGUACAUGUACAUGUAUUAUAUUUGGAUUUUUAUAUUUCAGGGAUAAAGACCUUAGACCUGCAGUCAGACAACAGUUAAAAGUUACUUAUUAUAUAACUCAUGAUCAUCAUGGCCAUUAUCAUGAUUAUGGAAGAUCUGAUUAAAAUUUGUUUAGAAAGCUACCAAGUAUGUCCGUGAAAAAUAGAAAAAAGACAGCAAUUCUACAUAAU
rnacentral:lncRNA from 1 species